AACAGGAUAAUUUACAGGUGAAAUUGUCAAGCUUAACCAUCCAUUUCCUCCCUCCAACCCUGAAAUCUUCAGCUGUUAUUAGACUUUGCCCAUCACUACCAACUUCAUUUCAAAAUAGCUGACUCAAUUAACUACAGCUUCCCAGAACAUUUGCCAGACAAAUAUCAAGCAGGCUUUAUGCAAAUCUACUGCACACAACCGUUUCCCUGCCUCGAAACAUACCUCCAGACCUGUUGAUCAAGCCUGCAGGAAUUCUAAUUAGCUGUGUUUCUGCAGUAUUGCUUGUUCUGUGUACACCGCUGUUCUCAGCAUGGGCUCUCCUCUUGCAGCUUGCUUAGCCGAGGAUGAAUACAACCACUGGCAUCUUGGCUUUGAUCCAAGACUAAAGAAGUACUUAGCAGUUUAAGUCUGCUGCAUGUCAUACGUGAAAUGAACUUUGGGAUUGUUUG